UACGUAGGGGGCGAGCGUUGUCCGGAGUUACUGGGCGUAAAGGGCAUGCAGGCGGUGCGGCGCGUUUCGCGUGACAGCGGGGGGCUUAACUCCCCGAGGGUGCGAAAGACGGCCGCUCUUGAGGGCCAGAGAGGGACACGGAAUUCCGGGUGGAGUGGUGAAAUGCGUAGAGAUCCGGAGGAACACCGAAGGCGAAGGCAGUGUCCUGGCUGGUGACUGACGCUGAGGUGCGAAAGCCAGGGGAGCGAACGGG
rnacentral:rRNA from 1 species